rnacentral:rRNA from 1 species
CCUACGGGGUGCUGCAGUGGGGAAUAUUGCACAAUGGGCGCAAGCCUGAUGCAGCCAUGCCGCGUGUGUGAAGAAGGCCUUCGGGUUGUAAAGCACUUUCAGCGGGGAGGAAGGCGUUAAGGUUAAUAACCUUGGCGAUUGACGUUACCCGCAGAAGAAGCACCGGCUAACUCCGUGCCAGCAGCCGCGGUAAUACGGAGGGUGCAAGCGUUAAUCGGAAUUACUGGGCGUAAAGCGCACGCAGGCGGUCUGUCAAGUCGGAUGUGAAAUCCCCGGGCUCAACCUGGGAACUGCAUUCGAAACUGGCAGGCUAGAGUCUUGUAGAGGGGGGUAGAAUUCCAGGCGUAGCGGUGAAAUGCGUAGAGAUCUGGAGGAAUACCGGUGGCGAAGGCGGCCCCCUGGACAAAGACUGACGCUCAGGUGCGAAAGCGUGGGGAGCAAACAGGAUUAGAUACCCGAGUAGUC